ACACCUACGGGUGGCAGCAGUGGGGAAUUUUGGACAAUGGGGGCAACCCUGAUCCAGCCAUGCCGCGUGCGGGAAGAAGGCCUUCGGGUUGUAAACCGCUUUUGUCCGGGAAGAAAAGAUCUCUCUUAAUACGGGAGGUUCUUGACGGUACUGGAAGAAUAAGCACCGGCUAACUACGCGCCAGCAGCCGCGGUAAUACGUAGGGUGCGAGCGUUAAUCGGAAUUACUGGGCGUAAAGCGUGCGCAGGCGGUUCGCUAAGUCUGAUGUGAAAGCCCCGGGCUCAACCUGGGAAUGGCAUUGGAAACUGGCGAGCUUGAGUGUGGCAGAGGGGGGUGGAAUUCCACGUGUAGCAGUGAAAUGCGUAGAGAUGUGGAGGAACACCGAUGGCGAAGGCAGCCCCCUGGGCUAACACUGACGCUCAGGCACGAAAGCGUGGGGAGCAAACAGGAUUAGAUACCCUGGUAGUCCACGCCCUAAACUAUGUCAACUGGGUGUUGGGGAAGCGAUUCCUCAGUACCGUAGCUAACGCGUGAAGUUGAC
rnacentral:rRNA from 1 species